CCCUGCUUAAACAGUGACUUGAUUGGUUCAAGACUGCUCCUAACUAACUUUAGUUUGCUCACGACUGAGACGACCCUUCAAUCAUGUUGGCUAUACUUUAUUAUCCGUGAUAGAAGAGGAGUUUGGGAACAUUUGGGAACAACAACAGACUGCCCCAUUCUACACUGAAUGUCACUACUGCUGUCGGCUAGGUCGAGAAUCAUUUCUGAAGGACAAGGCCUGCAGCGUGGUGACAACUGUAAGCUGCUGUAAGAGCUGGAGGAUCAAAUGAAGACUGCAGGUGAAGGGGAACAGAUGUUGACAGGAGCCAACUCUCCCCGAACAAGACUCAAUGCACAGAGCACUCUGUACCUGAAAUAGCCCAAGUGGUCUGGGCCGGCUGGCCUCGCCAAGCCUGCCCAGAGAGAUAGUUGGGGCAUGACAGAAGCCCAUGCAAGCUGACGCAGUGUCACAGAACAUGCUUGUUUUCUGCAGGAUUCCCCAGAUCCUAAAAGCUUUUUUGCCCUCAUAUUGAUCCCGGAGCGCCUGCGGUCAGAUGGGUGUUGUGUGCGAGUGCAGAGGGGCUAAGAGCUUGGCCUCGAAGAUGCUCCAGGGCUACUGCUCCAGAUUAACCGUACACUGCUCUGGCAUCCAGUUCACCUGAUGUUACACUGUUAGAGACUUUUUGUUCCACAUUAUUAUGUACAUACGUUAUGCUGCACCUCUCUCCUGGUUUGUCAUGCUGCUUCCUCAAGCAAACACACUGCACCUGGCAUAGCGUGUAUUCAAAUUAGCUAGAUGUUUAACGCCACAGGUUUAUGGCUUAGAUUAAUUCAUUUUCAGUGUUAGAAAAAGCGUUUUCAACCGUAACCUACUUCAUAACCUCUCUGCAGGACAUGUUUAAGACAACAUUUGUUUCAGAAGGGAAGGUAAAUUGUUUUUUAAAUGCUUUGUUUCUGACAUUUGUUGCAGAUCAACCUUGGAUGCUUUAUUUUACUAAAUCUAAUCACUCUUUUAAUAUCUUGCAAACCUGUCCAUAACAACUCUGCGUUAACUCUACCUGCUGUGGGAUGUGGCUCCCUGGGGUUUCUCUGGCCGCCCUCAUCGUCAAACUCCCCAGGAGGCAGGCCUUCCACCACCUGAAAACUCCUGCCCUGUUUGCCCCACACAUGGUGGAUCUGCAUGGCUGCUUCACGUUCUGCUGCCAGGUCCACGUCCUGCUGGGCCAGAUGGGCCCUCAGCUGCCGGAUCUCAAACUGGAGAUGGUCAGUGAAACAAGCAGGAGAAUCAGCAGAUUAGGCGAGGGUGAAAGUGAAGGGAUGGAUUUAAAAAACGGAUGAGUGACGAAGAUAGAGAUGGAAAAAAGGACGAGGAAGGCAAGAGGAAAGGCCAAAGAUAUACAGGAUCCGGUCAAACGUGAUAACUUCAUCUAUUUUCUCUAGAGAAAAUGUACAGUAUGAUUUAAACAUUUUGAUAAUUAACAUUAUGUGCAGUUUCAUACUGAGGGCCUUUGACGCCAUCAAAGAUCAUACAUUAAAUGCUUUGACAAACAAAGAUUGUCUAUGCUUAUAUUUAUAUGGUUGAUUAUUUGUG